GAAAUGCGAUAAGUAAUGUGAAUUGCAGAUACAGUGAAUCAUCGAAUCUUUGAACGCAAAUGGCACUCUAUGGUAUUCCGUAGAGUACGUCUGUUUGAGCGUCGCGAACAUCUCCAUAAUUAGUUUUUUUAAAUUAAUUAAGGGUUUUGAGGUUGUCAUUGUAUUAUGACUCCCUUUAAAAUGAUUAGUGAUGACCUUAUGAAUGGGUUAAUACUGUGUGUUAUAAUGGAUUACAUCCAUCACCAGUCAGAGAGUAAUCUCGCCUUAGUAAUUUGUAGUGAUUGCUUCUAAUAGCCUUUAUUGGCAACCUAAUGAUCAAAUCGACCUCAAAUCAGAUGGGAUUACCCGCUGAACUUAA
rnacentral:misc_RNA from 1 species